rfam:Xenorhabdus poinarii str. G6 chromosome, complete genome.
UUUUGCAUUGGCUUUGCGUGCCAUGAUGCUGUUGCCGACAGCAUGCAAAAGGUGGGUUUUACCCAAGCCGGUUCCGCCAUA